rnacentral:tRNA from 1 species
AGGCGCGUAGCUCAGUUGGUUAGAGCACUACCUUGACAUGGUAGGGGUCGGCAGUUCGAAUCUGUUCGCGCCUACCA